AUUGAACGCUGGCGGCAGGCUUAACACAUGCAAGUCGAGCGAGCGGCGGACGGGUGAGUAAUGUCUGGGAAACUGCCUGAUGGAGGGGGAUAACUACUGGAAACGGUAGCUAAUACCGCAUACCAUCAGAUGUGCCCAGAUGGGAUUAGCUAGUAGGUGGGGUAAUGGCUCACCUAGGCGACGAUCCCUAGCUGGUCUGCGAGGAUGACCAGCAACAAGCGAACUGAGACACGGUCCAGAAUACUACGGGAGGUAGAAGUGGGGAAUAUUGCACAAUGGGCGCAAGCCUGAUGCAGCCAUGCCGCGUGUGUGAAGAAGGCCUUCGGGUUGUAAAGUACUUUCAGCGGGGAGGCGUUACCCGCAGAAGAAGCACCGGCUAACUCCGUGCCAGCAGCCGCGGUAAUAC
rnacentral:rRNA from 1 species